rnacentral:rRNA from 1 species
CCUACGGGGGGCAGCAGUGGGGAAUUUUCCGCAAUGGGCGAAAGCCUGACGGAGCAAUACCGCGUGAGGGAAGACGGCCUAUGGGUUGUAAACCUCUUUUUUCAGGGAGGAAUCAAUGACGUGUACCUGAAGAAUAAGCAUCGGCUAACUCCGUGCCAGCAGCCGCGGUAAGACGGAGGAUGCAAGUGUUAUCCGGAAUCACUGGGCGUAAAGCGUCUGUAGGUUGUUAAACAAGUCAACUGUUAAAUCUUGAGGCUCAACUUCAAAAUCGCAGUCGAAACUGUUUGACUAGAGUAUAGUAGGGGUAAAGGGAAUUUCCAGUGGAGCGGUGAAAUGCGUAGAUAUUGGAAAGAACACCGAUGGCGAAGGCACUUUACUGGGCUAUUACUGACACUCAGAGACGAAAGCUAGGGUAGCAAAUGGGAUUAGAUACCCGGGUAGUC